rnacentral:lncRNA from 1 species
ACUGUACAAAUAAAUUAUAAUAUGUCAAAAGCCUAUAAAACGAAACACCCACACUCACAAGAACAAAAAAUCAUGUAAUGAAAAUAUGAAAGAAUACCGAAGAGCAACAGUUCCAGGACGGUAUCGAUGAGGCUUCUUCACACCACCGGUGGUUGGGGCAGAUUUACGGGCAGCCUGUUAUACAACAGAGAUAUAUUCGAAGUUAAUCACAAAACAAGAAAGCUCAAAUUUGGUAAACCGGAUAUUGUCUUGAAUGCAAUACAAUGAAUCACCUUGGUAGCAAGUUGCUUCCUUGGAGCCUUCCCACCAGUCGACUUACGGGCGGUUUGCUUGGUACGGGCCAUCUCUGCAAAGAUAUGAAUAAUUUCAGAAGACAAACAAAAAAAAAAAAACAUUUUCUCAUGAACCAAAAAUAACACACAAAAUCCAGAUCUUAGAUAAUUACUGAAUAAUUCCCAAAAGCCCUAAUUUUCAAACUAGAAAACUUCUAAGCCAAAAUAGAAAAUCAGAAAGGGAAUUAAAACAGAAGUCGAAGGUCCUAAAUGAACUCAGAAACUAUAAAAGGUACCCUAAUUAUAAACAAAUUCAACCUAAUUCUACCUUACCUCCCCUAUUUCCCUAAUUCAACUUACACUACAUGAAAUACAAAAACAAAUUAAAAGAAUCAGAAUUUACAAACCCUAAUUUAUCAUAAAAGUAAACAAAUAAAUAAAAGCUAAGAGAGCGAGAGAAGGUGACUAACCCUGAGAUCUUAGACAAACGCUUUAUUAUCUUCCUGUUCAAACGUUUGAAAAGGUAAGCAAUUAAGAGGUAUUUAUAGAAGGUUGGGGGUUUUGAUAAUGAAGUUGAUCCGACGGUUAAGAUUUACAAUCCGUGUGUUUCUUUUGUACGAAAUCUGACGGUAAAAACUGUCACAAGUUGUGUUUUCUGAGAGGAAAAGGACGGUUGGGAUUAGAUUAUAGUGGGAAGACACGGAUCGUGAUGGUUUGAGUGCUUGAUUCUUAUUGGUCGACUAAAAUUGCUUUUUAGCACAAAUGUUUUUAAGGUUGGAUUAAUGAAUUAACACAAAAUUAAAAGUAGUAAAUUUUGUCCUUCUAUUUAUAAGUUGGGAGGGGUUUUGGAUAGUUCUAAAUAUUGUGUAAAAAAAACAGAAAUGAUUAUAGUCUCUAAUGAGAUUAUUAAAAAAUAUAUAUAGCAAAUUUGAUUUGGCAUUAACAUUUACUUAUAAAUAGGGUUAAAUUAUGAAAGUUGUAAUUUGGUAUUAGUCCUUAAUAGAUUUAAGAAAGAAUUUUGAAUAUUUUGAACUUAGAUUUUAUUAUAAAUUUGAUAUUAAAAUUAUAAGAUUAUUUAAAUUUAUAAACACCAUAAAUUUUUUUGGCAAAAGGGAUUAAAUAAAAUCUUAAUAAAAAUUAAUAAAUCAAUUUACAUCUUAAAAAAAAAAUGCACACAAUUAAAGUCCCAAAAGCAAAAAUAAAAAAUAAAACUCUUUCAUUACCAAAAACUUCUGUUUAAAAGAGGGGAGAAAUAGACAUCUAAGCUCCUUUUGAUGUAACAUAUAAAUUUGUUUCGCUUCAUUCCAAACACAAUUCAAAUAUAUAUUCUAAAAAAAUGGUAAAAAAAUUAUAAUAAAUAAAAUUUAAAAAAGAGUAAGAAGUGUUUUCUUUUCUUUUAUUUUAGUCCUUAAUAACAUGUGAUAUUUUGGUUUAUAAUUGACUAUUUUGACAAAUCUUUUCAUAGUUAACAAUAUUUAUAAUCUUUAAUGAUUUUUAACAUUCUUUAUAAUUUCAUACAAGAUUUUAAAUAUAUUAUAAUAUUUUCAACUAGGUUGAGCCUUUAUUUAUCUAAGAUUGAUUUUUGGGCAAAUUUUUUUUCUGAAAAUAUUAACUAAUUAAUUAUAUAGAAGUACUCAGAAAAGAAAAAAAACAUCCUCUCACUUGUCUAGUCCUAGAAAGGUUAGAAACGACAUAGGAAGGGUACCAAAAAUCUACAAAUCCUUUUUUUUUCUUUUAUAUUAAAGUUAGUUUGCUUAAACAGUUCGUAGCUUGAUUUUGCUCUCUAGAAAUAUAAAACAAGAGCCACCGUUUUUUUUUGUGCCAAAAUAUUUUGUAUACAUCUAAUCAAAGUUGAAUUCGACAUGUUAGACUGCAAGGAACGCUUCCUUGAUUAGCUUUAACAAUUUUCAAACUAUAAGAUUUGAUUACUCCAUCAUCAAAGGCCUCAUAGCCUCUACAUUGGGUUAGCUUGAGACCGUCCAAAAUAUCCUGAAGUUCGGUGUCAAUGAACGAACACUUCCCUAAGUAACGGUUAUAGCCAGACACCCAUUCCCAUUCUCAUCACAAAUUACUCCCCGAAAACUACAUUACCUAAUUAAUUUCUUUCCAAGGCUCAUUUGGCUAAAUUUGUUUUUAGAAAUAAUGAUUUUUUUACGUACCAAUUUAAUAAAAAAAGUUAGUUUAAUUAACCAUUUAAUUAUUCCAUUCUUCAAUUCUAGAAGUUAAGUUUCUUUUAUCAAAACAUCUUGAAAUUUUUAACACUUCACUGUGAAUCUCCACAUUUGUAAUUAAUUAAUUUUUAAUAUAUUUAUUUAACAAAAUUUUUAAAUAAUUCUAAGAAUUUUCUAUAUUUUAAAAAAUAAUUAAUUGUUGAUGUUAUAGUUUUAACUUUAAUUUUUCCAUCCAAUAUCGAGUAGUUUGAAAAAUUACAAAUAUAAAUAUUAAAAAAUAAAAAAAAUUUAAAAGCUAAAAUGAUUUUUUUUUACGAAGUUAGAGCCUAAAUAAGUAAUUAUAGAUUUUUUCUAAUAUCUCAAAUUAUCAAACAAGAAUUAUCUUAAUUAAAUAUAGAUUCAACUUCAAAAUCUUGAACCGAAAAAUUCACCUUAAAUGCUUUUUUUCAUCCUAUAUUUGAAAAAACAUUCCAUUAGGAUUUUCACACCAUUACUCGAUGCCACUUGUAAGCACAAAACAUCUUGAUCCAGUUAACAAAAGCACCAAUAUCAGGGUAAUUUACCAAUAAAAGUUUUUUUUUCAAAAUUUAUCGAAAUGGACCAACUAUUUAAUUAUUUACCGAAAUGGUCUAUUUUUCGCGAAAUCGCAUCCACGUCAGCGCAAUGUCAGGGUACGCGCCAGGAAAUCGCGUCCACGUCAGCGCGACUUGCUGACGUGGACAGAAAUCGCGCCUUAGAGGACACGAUUUGCUGACGUGGCAUGAACAGUUUAUUUUUUUAGCUUAAAAAACUUUGAAAGGCCAUAACUUUUGGCUCGGUUGUCCAAUUGAGACGAUUUUUUUAUUUCGAAUAACUUUUCGAGAUCUACGCACUGACAAACUUCUUAGAGAUGAAUAGGGACUAAUUUGUAAAGUAUAAUUUGUUAGUUACGAGUAUAGGGACUAAAAUAUAAUUAUUUCAAAAUUAACAUGAAAUUUUUGUAUUUAAGAAUAUUUUAAUGUUAUGGAAGGAUGAAUUUGAAUUUGAAUUGAAAAACAAAGCUUAGAUUUGAAAAUAUGACUAUUUAGGUUUUAGAGACUAAAUUGAAUAAAAUAAAAAAUUUUAGGAAACUUCUCAAAAGUCAAAUGAGCUGACUUAUAAAAAAAUAUCCAGUGUUUACUUCAAAUAAAUAAGUAAAAUAAUAAUUUAAAUGUUUAAAAAUUUAAUUUUAAACCGAAAAAAUCAAAAUUUAGGGACAAAAAAGAUCUUUUUUGACAAAAUCUGCAACAAAUCACCUUCAACAAUUUAUCAGCGCGUAAAUCUCAAAAAAUUAUUUAAAAUAAAAAAAAUAUUUAAAAUAAAAAAAAUCGAACAACCGAGCGAAAAUUUAUGGCCUUUCAAAAUUUUACAAACUUAAAAAUAUAAACUAUUCAUCCACGUCAGCAAAUCGCGUCCUCAUAGGCGCAAUUUCUGUCCACGUAAGCAAAUCACGUUGACGUAAACGCAAUGUCCUGACACGUACCCUGACAUUAUACAGACGUGAAUGCGAUUUCGCAAAAAAUAUCCUCUUCCGGUAAAUAAUCAAAAAAUCAGCCCACUUCAAUAAAUUAAAAAAAAAAACUUUUAUUGAUAAAUUACCCCAAUAUCACUCGUCUAUUUUACGCUAACCAUAGUAAUAAGAUAUACGCUGAAAGACACGCGUCCCACUUUUCACAUGGGACACAUUUUCAUUACCGACAUGAGAGGGUAAUCGCUCUUUCCGGCCAGUCAACAAAUUUAAGCCCAUAAAUUUUCGCUUCCCCAACCUACCACUACGGCACUACCUAAACAUGUCCCCUCCACAAUAUCCUCUUUUAACGGACCGAUUCCACAACACUACUAAACAACAUUUGCAUUUACAAUACACGAAAAAAUAUUCGAAGUCACUAGUUUUGAUUAGGAAGCACAUUAAAACAAACUAUACCAGACAUGAGAUCUUAUCCAUUAAAAUAUCAGACAUCACACUCUCCACCAUAACCCCAUUUCAUCAUAACAUUGAACCUACGCACUAAGAUAAACCUAUCAUUCAAUCUAGUAAUAAAAGAGGAUUAAAAAUAAACAUAAAAAAAUAGUACAACACAUCUGCCUAACAACAAACAAUAGUUUCUCCAUUCUAAGUGAGUGAUUAACACACUUGGAAAUUAAGCACGCUCGCCCCUGAUCCUACGAGCCAACUGAAUGUCCUUGGGCAUUAUAGUAACACGCUUGGCGUGGAUCGCACACAGGUUGGUGUCUUCAAAGAGACCCACAAGGUAUGCUUCUGCAGCUUCCUGAAGAGCAAGAACGGCAUGGCUCUGGAAACGCAAAUCAGUCUGCAAACAAAUAUCAUAUCAACGAUUGUCAACCAGAAGUCAAUACCAUCAAUUGCCAAGGAAUUGACACAAUAAUAGAGAUACUC